UUGGAAUCAUAUUUUCUGUGUGCUCAUAAGCAUAAGAAUGUCCAGGAACUCCAAAUGAAACCUUAAUCUCAAUGAACCAGCCUUUUUUGUCUUGUAUAUUAAGUUGAAGUACUGCAACUGCACCCUUAAAGUACUUGUGAACUAAAAGAUAGAAGAAAGAGUCAAGUCAAAAUUUCCAGGAGGAAUCAGAGGCCUUUGAAGCUCUCAACCAACUGUGUAGCUUUCAGUCAGCUAACAAUGCACUGAGAAAGGACAUGAUAAGAUUAUUCCAGAUUAUUCUUGAACUCUCUCUUCCCUAUCCUUAAGAUCCUUAUCCUUAAUUCGACCUCAAUGCCAUAAUAUUUAUAUCCAAAGUUCCAAAAAACAUGAGUCUAGGCUUUGGGAUGCUCUGAUUCCAAAGAAGCAUCUAUCAAUAUACAUCUGGAGAUGCUUAUGGCUUCCUGUAGCCAUGAUCAAGCUUUUGUAGGAUGUCUGACAGUAUCUUUGGUCUCUAUCCACUGGCAAAGACCCAAGGAAUCCAAAUUUGUUUCCUUUUAGUUUACUUUUAUAUACAUUACCAAAUUAUUAUAUAAAAAUGUUUAAAUAAAGAGGAAAAAGAACACAA